rnacentral:rRNA from 1 species
UUGGAGGGCAAGUCUGGUGCCAGCAGCCGCGGUAAUUCCAGCUCCAAUAGCGUAUAUUAAAGUUGUUGCAGUUAAAAAGCUCGUAGUUGAAUUUCGGGAUCAGUUGGUCGGUCGUGCCUCGGUACGUACUGGUCAAAUUGAUUCCUACCUUCUGACGAACCACGAUGUCAUUAAUUUGGUGUCGCGGGGAAUCAGGACUGUUACUUUGAAAAAAUUAGAGUGUUUAAAGCAGGCUCGCGCUUGAAUACAUUAGCAUGGAAUAAUGAAAUAGGACGUUUGAUUCUAUUUUGUUGGUUUCUAGGAUCGACGUAAUGAUUAAUAGGGAUAGUUGGGGGCAUUAGUAUUCAAUUGUCAGAGGUGAAAUUCUUGGAUUUAUUGAAGACUAACUACUGCGAAAGCAUUUGCCAAGGAUGUUUUCAUUAAUCAAGAACGAAAGUUAGGGGAUCGAAGACGAUCAGAUACCGUCGUAGUCUUAACCAUAAACUAUGCCGACUAGGGAUCGGAUGAUGUUAAUUUUUUAAUGACUCAUUCGGCGCCUUACGGGAAACCAAAGUGUUUGGGUUC